CCUACGGGUGGCAGCAGUGGGGAAUAUUGCACAAUGGGGGAAACCCUGAUGCAGCAACGCCGCGUGAGCGAUGAAGGCCUUCGGGUCGUAAAGCUCUGUCCUAAGGGAAGAAUACUGACGGUACCUUAGGAGGAAGCCCCGGCUAACUACGUGCCAGCAGCCGCGGUAAUACGUAGGGGGCUAGCGUUAUCCGGAAUUACUGGGCGUAAAGGGUGCGUAGGCGGCCCUUCAAGUCAGAGGUGAAAGGCUACGGCUCAACCGUAGUAAGCCUUUGAAACUGUAGGGCUUGAGUGCAGGAGAGGAGAGUGGAAUUCCCAGUGUAGCGGUGAAAUGCGUAGAUAUCAGGAGGAAUACCAGUGGCGAAGGCGACUUUCUGGACUUAGACUGACGCUGAGGUACGAAAGCGUGGGGAGCAAACAGGAUUAGAUACCCUGGUAGUC
rnacentral:rRNA from 1 species